UGAGGAAUAUUGGUCAAUGGACGAGAGUCUGAACCAGCCAAGUAGCGUGCAGGAUGACGGCCCUAUGGGUUGUAAACUGCUUUUGUUUGGGAAUAAUCGACAUUACGUGUAAUGUUUUGCAUGUACCAUUCGAAUAAGGACCGGCUAAUUCCGUGCCAGCAGCCGCGGUAAUACGGAAGGUCCAGGCGUUAUCCGGAUUUAUUGGGUUUAAAGGGAGUGUAGGCGGUUGGUUAAGCGUGUUGUGAAAUGUAGAUGCUCAACAUCUGACUUUGAGGGCGGACUGGCUGACUUGAGUACACACAACGUAGGCGGAAUUCAUGGUGGAGCGGUGAAAUGCUUGGAUAUCAUUAAGAACUCCGAUUGCGAAGGCAGCUUACGGGAGUGUUACUGACGCUUGAGCUGGAAGGUGCGGGGAUCGAACAAG
rnacentral:rRNA from 1 species